UUCCGGUUGAUCCUGCCGGAGGCCAUUGCUAUUGGAGUCCGAUUUAGCCAUGCUAGUCGUACGAGUUCAUACUCGUGGCGAAUAGCUCAGUAACACGUGGCCAAUCUCCCCUUCAGCGGCGGAUACCCUCGGGAAACUGAGGCUAAUCCGCCAUACACCUCUCACGUUGGAAUACCGAGAGGACAAAACGCCUUCCGGCGCUGAAGGAUGAGGCUGCGGCCGAUUAGGUAGACGGUGGGGUAACGGCCCACCGUGCCCAUAAUCGGUACGGGUCGUGAGAGCGAGAGCCCGGAGACGGAAUCUGAGACAAGAUUCCGGGCCCUACGGGGCGCAGCAGGCGCGAAACCUUUACACUGCACGACAGUGCGAUAGGGGGACUCCGAGUGCGAGGGCAUAUAGUCCUCGCUUUUCUGAACCGUAAGGUGGUUCAGGAACAAGUGCUGGGCAAGACCGGUGCCAGCCGCCGCGGU
rnacentral:rRNA from 1 species